rnacentral:rRNA from 1 species
UACGGGGGGGGCAAGCGUUGUUCGGAAUUACUGGGCGUAAAGGGCUUGUAGGCGGCCAACUAAGUCAGACGUGAAAUCCCUCGGCUUAACCGGGGAACUGCGUCUGAUACUGGAUGGCUUGAGUUCGGGAGAGGGAUGCGGAAUUCCAGGUGUAGCGGUGAAAUGCGUAGAUAUUGGGAGGAACACCGGUGGCGAAGGCGGCCCCCUGGACCGGUACUGACGCUGAGGCGCGAAAGCGUGGGUAGCAAACGGG